GUGUUCACUUAGGCAGCAUGUAUACUAAAAUUGGAAUGAUACAGAGAAGAUUAGCAUCCUCUGUACAAGGGUGACACACAAAUUCAUGAAGCAUUCCAUUUUUAU
ensembl:snRNA U6 U6 spliceosomal RNA